rnacentral:rRNA from 1 species
CCUACCGGAGGCAGCAGUGAGGAAUAUUGGUCAAUGGGCGGAAGCCUGAACCAGCCAUCCCGCGUGAAGGAAGACAGCCUUACGGGUUGUAAACUUCUUUUCUGUCAGAAGAAUAAGCUUGUCGAGACGAGUGAUGCCGGUACGACAGGAAUAAGCAUCGGCUAACUCCGUGCCAGCAGCCGCGGUAAUACGGAGGAUGCAAGCGUUAUCCGGAUUUAUUGGGUUUAAAGGGUGCGCAGGUUGUUUGAUAAGUCAGUGGUGAAAGUCUGUCGCUUAACGGUAGGAUUGCCAUUGAUACUGUUGGACUUGAAUAUGGAUGAGGUAGGCGGAAUGUGUAGUGUAGCGGUGAAAUGCAUAGAUAUUACACAGAACACCGAUUGCGAAGGCAGCUUACUAAUCCAUCAUUGACGCUGAGGCACGAAAGCGUGGGGAUCAAACAGGAUUAGAUACCCUGGUAGUCCACGCCGUAAACGAGGAUCGCAACUCAAAUGAAUUGUCGGGGAACGAA